UACGUAGGAUCCAAGCGUUGUCCGGAUUUACUGGGUGUAAAGGGUGCGCAGGCGGACUUGUAAGUCGGGGGUGAAAUCUCGCUGCUCAACAGCGAAACUGCCUUCGAUACUGCAAGUCUUGAAUCAGGGAGAGAGUCGCGGAAUUCCGAGUGUAGCAGUGAAAUGUGUAGAUAUUCGGAAGAACACCAGUGGCGAAGGCAGCGACUUGGCCCUCGAUUGACGCUCAGGCACGAAAGCAUGGGGAUCAAACAGG
rnacentral:rRNA from 1 species